UCUUGAGGAAACCCUAACCAGCAGCAAAUACUUCAAGGGUACAAACAUGAAGGCAUAGAGAACGGAAAGCCUUUCACGGUAAUGGGACAACAACAGCAACAAAAAUUAAAGCCAAGACUGCUGGGGAUAGAAUUCACCUGACUAGGGGAGCAACUCCAUGUGAAACAAAUUUGCUUCCUCUGACUUACAGCACCAGCAAAAUACAUUCAAUUCCAUCUCAAUAAACUUCCAACUUUUUCUAGGCCCAGGUAGCAACUAUUUAUUCCUGAAGUCAUACGCAGUACAACAAAUCUUUUAACAGAAUUUACAAUUUUACCCAGUUUUUACCUGGAUUUUUAGUGUUCUUCUAAGGGGAAUGUGCCUCUAAGAGAUGGUUUUGGUAGUCUAAAGUUCUGGCUUGAGUCUAUGAAAGAUUUUUAUAGUUGACAUUUCAUAGGGGGAAGAAAAGGCUAAACAAAACCAAAAGCCACCGUAAAAGUUUCCCAAUCUUCCUCUAUCUAGGUGCAAUCUUAAACAUAUUAGCUCUUCAGCAGAGAACUAUGUUCAUAUUUUUUAAUUAGGUGAUUAAAAAUAUUUGAAAUGGCAGCAAAACAAUGGCCAGCUUUUGGCAAUCCAAAGGGAAAAAAGGAAAAGGUGACAUGAUUAGCAUUGGUAAGCUUAAGUUUAAUCACAUGGGAUCAUUAACAUUUUCCAUGGAUAAAGAACAAGAACCCUUACAAUUAAAAGGUCUCAGCAAGAGUGCCAACUCUGUCCUGGUCAGCAAGACAGGCCUUAGACGCUCCUUUAAUCAUAGCUUGUAAAUUCACAGUGGCAUUUACAAACGUCAGAACGUACUUUAGGUAAAAUGCAAUUGGUUCAGCCAGAAGUUUCCCUAACAGCAACUGACUGAAGAGCAGUGGUUCUCCCAGGGUCCCUUCUGCCCUCUUCCCACCAGCAAUAUAAGCCACACCUGGGAGCUUGUUAGACAUGCAAACCUCCCACCCACAGAAUCACAAUUGCAGUGGAGGGGGCCUGGCAAUCCGUUUUAAACAACCCUCCAGAUAAUUCUGAUUUAAGGCCAGCUGUAGAAGAUAUUACAGAGAUUUUGAGUGUGACACCAAGCACAAGAUGCCUAAUUCAGGAUGUACAAGCCAUUUUCAUUUCCCUUAACCAAAUCUCCUCUUCCCAUUGCCCAUCCCUUUUAGAGGGCCAUGCAAAGAGUAGGACCUUGUUCAAGACACACUUUGAAAAGGUCCUUAGAUAGGCCUAAUGGAAAAGGCAUCUAUUUUUCAUAUGUUACCACAGUAACAGUAACAAGAAGCAUCAUUUAUUCCUAUAAGAAAAGUCCCCUUUGCAGGGGACAUUGAGUAUUUACAGAAAGAUCACUUUAUCCUGAGGAACUCAAAAUUUGGAAAAGCAAAUAUGGAAAACUUGGCCUCUAAGACAUCCAUGUACACCUUUACAGGCCACGUUCUAAACGAACACUCCCUAAUUACAGCUGCCCAAUACGGAAAACAUGUGUCCUAGGAAAACCUCCACCGUCUACUCUGAAAGACAUCAUGUUCACGUAAUAGAGAAAAAAAAAGUCUUAUUUCAGUUCCUGUACUGGUCCCUCAGUCUUGACUUAAACAGGGAAGGUGAUCUAUUUCACCUCUGCCCAUCCUUAAUGCUACUUCGGGUCCUGUGACAUCCUUCUUUAGGUCCACAUUCAGUCGUUACUUAUGGGAGUUGCAAUAAAAAUAAUAAAGCUUAUCUCUGGAUUAUAAAACUAUUUUCAUAUCAUAAAAUCAAUUGCAUUUUGUGUGCAGUCCGUGUUUUUAGUUUACAAAUAGAUCCCAUAUUUCCCGUCUCAUUUGAGUCUUACAGCAGCCUGUGAGCUGAACACAGUUUUAUUAUUCCCACUUUACAGAUGAGAAAACUGGAACUUAGUGCUAACCUCAACAAACAACUGAUCACUGGAUAUUACAGAGGAGAUACAAAUGCUUUGCAUAAAAAAUUAAAGCAUUCAUGAUGUCUAAAAGAACCUCCACAUUUGCUUGAAUUUGUCAUCAGCCAAAUAGUAUUCAUCAGAAAUUACCUAAGUAGGUUUCUAGGUUGGGUGAUAUUUUUCUAAGGAAUGGUAAAUAGCAUGGAGAUGAAAUAAAUGAGAACCUACAAACUCUCCCAGUUAUACAACUCACAUAACCUGCAAUGAUGUCUGAAAUUCUAUGGUGCUCAAAGUAACAACAAUGGAGAUGCUGAAAAGAUUAAGCUCUUACUCAUACCAGGCACUCUUCUGCACACAUUAAAUAUAUUCAACAACCCUAUUAAUAUCCCCAUUUUGGAGGUGAGGAAAACAAGGCACAGAAAAGCUAAGUAACUUGCCCAAGAUCACACAUGUUGCUUGGUGAACACAGAGGAGGAAAUGCAACUGGAAGUGCCAAGCCCCUGUGUGGUCUGCCUGCCAGUGAUGGAAACCUGACAUGGGAGGGCAGCUACCACAAGAACAUGGGUUAUGUUUCCAGUGUUGCCAUUUGGGCAACAGUCUUCACAUUUGCUUACUGGAAACAUUAAUCAAUGCUGAGGUUCCAAGUAACCAAACAUUAACUGAGACUCCUAACAGCCAGUUCCUUCUCAGAGUGUCCCCAACAAAGGUUUCCUAGAUCUUGGGUAGCAAUGGAACGCUGGUGGAUUCUCCUGGAACUGCCUUCAACUAAGAAAAAUCAGAGGGGAAAGCAGCUUUGGAGGAAACGUGCAAAGUAAAGCUGUAUGUGGGAGGCAGCAGUUCUAGUAAAUGUACAGAACUCAAGGCUCUGAUUUUUCUUUUAAAGACAUAUAAAUAAAAAGGAGUCCUCACUGGUAUAAAUUACUCCUGCCUUUUUUUUUCUCCACUGUUUUCAACUGCUCACAUUUUGGAACUGUGCGAGCCAGCUUUUACAUAAUGAUCAAUCUUUCAAAGUUUAUACAUCAUCUUCUUAAGGAAGAAAACAAAUAUCAAGCUGAAAAGAACAUUCAGGCAAAGGAGAAAAAUUACAUGAUAAAUAAAUGCAGUCUUCGUGGGCAAGUAUACUGUGAUGGGAGUGUGGGGUGUAGGGACAACUUUCCAACACUUACUCAAAUGUGCUUAUCUUCCUCAUUUCCUGCCUCUAAUUUUUACCGAAUAACCGCCUUGAGAUCCCAGGAAUUCAAAAGGAAACCCAAUUUAACACCAAGUUCCAGGGUAUUCCACAUAAUCUCUCUUUAAGGCAAAGUCCCAAAACCGAGAGAUGGGACUAUAAUGACCACAAGUUAGGUAACAUUUCACAUUCACAUUCCUUCCACAUUCUUUGACAAUCCUGGUCCAACUACUUACUGUGGACCCUGUGUGCUUUACUUUCUUCUGCUAUAUAAUGAGGAUAAUAUUAAUACCUUCUCUCAGGUUGGUGUGAAAACUGCAUGAAUUAGCAAAUGUAAAGCACUUGGAACUGUGUCUGACACAAAGUGCUGAAUAGCGUCAGCUGUUAUUACUACUACUUACUACUAUUAUUUACAAAAACAUUGCAACGGAUAAUUAUAUCCAGGAAGCUUCCAUUGUAUUAGUAACAUUUUACUGCUUUUUCUAAAAUUGAAAUCAGAGCAGCAGUCAAUACAUGGAAACAGAAAAGGUAUAAUUCUUCAAAAAAGUGAAGGAAAAGCUUCCCAUAUCCCCAUACCCAUGACACCUGCUGGUGAGUUUCAGGUAAGGGUGUAGCUGGGAGCAUCCGGUUCCACAGCUGCCUUGUAUUUCUCUUAGAGGAUGCCUCCCCUUCUGCUGCGGUUUUUAAUCAGCGUUUCCAGGGCAGGGUUGCAGGCGGGGCCGCGAACCCCCUGAAGUUGUACACGGAGCUGGGUGAGGCUGCGGCUCUGGGCAUUUCGGGGGAGGGGUUCCAUGGCUUUCCACAAAAUCUAACCACCCGGUAGCGAGCCACGUGCUAUCCAGGGUUAAACUCCAGGCAUAUUGAGCGAACACUUCAUGGAAGACUGUAGCAAUAACCGGGACACCUGCGCUGUUAAUCAGCUAUCUCAACACCAGAGAGACCCGGCAGCACAAGGGGGAAGAGCUGGCCCGGAGGCGCGCGGCGCUGCGCCCUCAUCGCGCCCAGACAGAUCUGUGAACUUCGCCGCUGGAGAACGCACCGCUCCGCAGGCCCGACCCGGGAGAGGGGUUUCACUUCCCCUCCCCUUCUUCAUCCUUCCUUCAUUUCCAAGAACAAACUCAAAGGAAACUGGCAGCUCAAGGUCUAGGGUUUCACUCCUGCCCUCGGCUGACACCAAAACCACUUCUCCCAGGGAAAUUAAUUAAAAGAAUCAUUAAUCCGCACAAAAAUCCAAAACCUACCCCAAAACUCAACAGCUCUGAAAGGAGAUUGAGGGCGCCUUUGCGGAUCGCGAACAUCUCCUCUGCUGGUCGCUGGGGCUUAGGGGGUGAGCAAGGGGGCGCCACAGGGGCGCAGGCAAGACCCCGCCAGAGGGUCGGACGCCUGCCCCGGUUCCGAGGCAGCCGGGUCUACACGCCAGCGACGCCGGCGGAGCCGGGCUUGGAGGCGGCCAGCCUCCACCUAUGCUCUGAAACUGCAACCCAGAUCUGAGAAAACUGUGUCUACCUGGUCCUUGACUUAGAUAUCACUAAAGAUCUGGCCAGUAGUCCUCUUCCUGAUGCCAGACACAAGUCAGGACCAGCUCUCCAGAGAAGGACAUCCCCACCACCAGGACCCUUGCAAAGAGGAAUGAAAGACCCAGUCCUGUUGUGAUGUUCAUUAGUCAGAUCUUGGAGCUCUCCUGGCCUCUUUGGAUAUCCCCUGUCAGCUCAACUGAUGAGACUUUAUGUACCACUGCAUGAAAAACAAAAGGGAAUCUCUUAUUUCUCACACGGGAUAACAGCUGAUAGUCAUUACCACAAUAUAAUAGACAUGUUAGUGGCCAGGUUCAUGUAAGGACUAAGCAGCCCCAUGAAUCACGUAAGACUGGCUACUCCUGGGACGCUCCUCUCUGGUUUUCUAGGUAGCAGAGAGGGAAAGCUAAAUAGUAGUUUCUAAUAACAACUGGGAAGGCUUUUUCUUUUUAAAUAACAGUGGAGUUGGCAUAAAGCUUGGAACCAAGUGUAGAGAAGGUAAAGUAUACGUAGAAGGGCUGUGACGAACAUAAAACUUGGCUGCGUUCUUUGUGAAGGCUCAAACUUGGGAAGGUUAAAUACCAAACUUUUUUCAUUUGUUCUGUAUUUUGAUUCUGAAAAGAAAGCUGACUUUGCCCAUUUAUGAUUUUUAAAUCUUGGGGACAAGGAGAAGAAAGGGACAAUUUUUAAAAAACUGUUUGAAAACAUUACGGCUGAAAGAAGCUACGUAGGAGCUGGGUAGAGAACGUAGUGACUAAGAGAACAGGGAAUGACCAGCAUGCCCCCUGUGGGAGGGGCUCUACCCGUGCCCCUUUUCACAUACGGGAAUCUUGACACCAAACAUGUUCUCACACGCAUGGUGGUGUGAAUGAUUUGAAGGAAUUCACAGUUAGUACAAAGAAGAAUCUGGAACAUGUUUAAUGAUUUAUCCCUGGAGAUCAUAAUAAACAAUGUAAAACCUGGGAGACAUCUCUGAAUUCCCUGGCUCUUGCAGAAUUCA